rnacentral:rRNA from 1 species
GAUGAACGCUAGCGGUAGGCUUAACACAUGCAAGUCGAGGGGCAGCACAAGGUAUCUUGCUAUCUGGGUGGCGACCGGCGCACGAGUGCGUCACGCGUAUGCAACUUUCCCUAUACAGGUGGAUACCCCGACGAAAGACGGACUAAUACUGCGUAUGCCCGCAACUUGGCAUCAAGUGGUGAGGAAAGAAAUUCGGGAUAGGAUAGGCAUGCGUCCCAUUAGCUUGUUGGUGAGGUGACGGCUCACCAAGGCAACGAUGGGUAGGGGAACUGAGAGGUGUGUCCCCCACACUGGUACUGGGACCCGGACCAGACUCCUACGGGAGGCAGCAGUGAGGAAUAUUGGACAAUGGGCGCGAGCCUGAACCAGCCAAGUCGCGUGAAGGAUGACUGUCUUAUGGAUUGUAGACUUCUUGUAUACGGGAAUAACAAGAGGCACGUGUGACUGCCUGCAUGUACCGUAUGAAUAAGCAUCGGCUAACUCCGUG